AGGGACCGAAAUAUCGGAUAUCAUUCGCACUAGUAUUAUACAUGCCAGAAAACAGCAGAUUUUAAACAGAGGCAGUUGCUGAAGACCCCAAACCAGGCCACGUCACAUAGCAGUUUUAAGCGUUUGUUAAGCCGCACGAGCUUUACGUGAGAUGUCGCUCACAAGUCAAGGUUGGACAUUAGUUCGACGGGUGGAAACAUGACUGACUGAAAACAAUGCUAAAACGAUUAGAAAAUGAUGCAGAAGAAAAGCCGACGACGGGCCGAUAGUAGCAUGUUUCACGACAGCAGAUGGCGUCACCGGUUUUAACCAGUAUCAAGUAAACGCCAGAUCGAGUUAGGAAAGGACUAACAACACGUACCAGUUCCCACUGAAUGGUGUAUUAGAACGGCGGGGCCUGAUCCAACCGAAGACAGUACGUCGAUCU
rnacentral:lncRNA from 1 species